CCAGCGAUGGGAACGCAUGUAAGUCGAGCGGAUGACGGGAGCUUGCUCCUUGAUUCAGCGGCGGACGGGUGAGUAAUGCCUAGGAAUCUGCCUGGUAGUGGGGGACAACGUUCCGAAAGGGGCGCUAAUACCGCAUACGUCCUACGGGAGAAAGUGGGGGAUCUUCGGACCUCACGCUAUCAGAUGAGCCUAGGUCGGAUUAGCUAGUUGGUGAGGUAAAGGCUCACCAAGGCGACGAUCCGUAACUGGUCUGAGAGGAUGAUCAGUCACACUGGAACUGAGACACGGUCCAGACUCCUACGGGAGGCAGCAGUGGGGAAUAUUGGACAAUGGGCGAAAGCCUGAUCCAGCCAUGCCGCGUGUGUGAAGAAGGUCUUCGGAUUGUAAAGCACUUUAAGUUGGGAGGAAGGGCAGUAAGUUAAUACCUUGCUGUUUUGACGUUACCGACAGAAUAAGCACCGGCUAACUCUGUGCCAGCAGCCGCGGUAAUACAGAGGGUGCAAGCGUUAAUCGGAAUUACUGGGCGUAAAGCGCGCGUAGGUGGUUCGUUAAGUUGGAUGUGAAAGCCCCGGGCUCAACCUGGGAACUGCAUCCAAAACUGGCGAGCUAGAGUAUGGUAGAGGGUGGUGGAAUUUCCUGUGUAGCGGUGAAAUGCGUAGAUAUAGGAAGGAACACCCGUGGCGAAGGCGACCACCUGGACUGAUACUGACACUGAGGUGCGAAAGCGUGGGGAGCAAACAAGAUUAGA
rnacentral:rRNA from 1 species